UACGAAGGGGGCUAGCGUUGUUCGGAAUUACUGGGCGUAAAGGGCGCGUAGGCGGUCCUGAUCGUCGGAUGUGAAAGGCCUGGGCUCAACCUGGGAACUGCAUCCGAUACGGCGGGACUGGAGUGUGGGAGAGGUUGGUGGAAUUCCCAGUGUAGAGGUGAAAUUCGUAGAUAUUGGGAAGAACACCGGUGGCGAAGGCGGCCAACUGGACCACAACUGACGCUGAGGCGCGAAAGCUAGGGGAGCAAACGGG
rnacentral:rRNA from 1 species